rnacentral:rRNA from 1 species
UACGGAGGGCGCAAGCGUUGCUCGGAAUCACUGGGCGUAAAGCGUACGCAGGCGGACCGUUAAGUCGGGUGUGAAAGCCCAGGGCUCAACCCUGGAAUUGCAUUCGAAACUGGCGGCCUUGAGUACGGGAGAGGGAAGCGGAAUUCCUGGUGUAGAGGUGAAAUUCGUAGAUAUCAGGAGGAACAUCAGUGGCGAAAGCGGCUUCCUGGCCCGAUACUGACGCUCAUGUACGAAAGCGUGGGGAGCAAAC